AAAAAGAAAGAUAUCAUAACUUUGCAAAGAUACAUUGUAGGAAGCAAUUCCAUCAUAUCACUUUAAGUCAGUGUAAUAGUUCCUGAAGUACAAUGUGUACAUCCCUGGAGAGCCACAUGGUAUGUCACCUUCUUAGUGUUCACCUUUACAAAAUCUGAAGUCAGCUACAGUGAAUUUGUAAAGGAGCAAUAAAAUGUGGUGUGGUACCCCACAAAGCACUUCUGGACUGUUUUCUGAAAAGCAGCUGCACACAGAUGGGAAAUGACAAAACCAUAUCCUCAUCUCCAACUGAUAUGAUGGUUUUGGAAAUUUGGUACAUAAAGGGAAGGAAUGGAAACUGUAGAAGAUUACAGGUUUGCCACCAGAAGUCCACAAUAGUGGACUUGCUUGCCUGUCCCAAGCAAGUAACUUUUGCCUGUUUCAGGCAAACAAUUUUUAGACAGUCCUAGUGAAUUGGGUAAUUUUAGUUACUGUGACAGACAUUAGGAAAUCACUACUUUGCCGUUUCCUGAGGGAAAGUCUCUGCUGUGAAGCAAGCAUGCUGUUUCAGUGGCCUUGAUAUCCCCAUUUCUCCUUAUGGUACUUUGUGAACAUCAAUGGCUGAAGCCAUUUACAACCACCAGAAAGCUGCCAGGUCAAGGCAGAAAUAAACUUUCCUGAGUCACCUGUUUAUUUUUAUACUAUUGGCCAGAACAGUAUUUUCUCAUGUGUCCUAAGGUUGAUUUACUUCAAGGGUGCAGACCUUCUCAAGGCAAGAGAGUUAUGUCUAAUAUAUUCAGCUACUCUUAUUUAAGAUUUUUUUCUUCUCUUUUCACAAGUGUCUUCUGUCUUUGACAAAAUCUUUACUGAAAUAUUUCUGGAAAAAUCAGGCUAAUUUGAAAUUUCAAAUCAACUUUUCAUGUCAGCUAACAAAAACAACCUCCAAGAACAGUAUCGGUGCUGUAUCAGACCCACACAUAGACUCCUCUCUCUUUUAUUAUUAUUAGGUCAGACACAGGAAUUUCUUGUGUUUUGCAGAAUCAGAAAUAAAGUGCAGAAGUGCCAAAAGCACUCAUCUACCACUUCUGUAAAAGUCAGCGGUACCUCUCCCACCAAUGUCACAGGGAAAGAAGUAAGAACACAGAGUGCUCCAAAAAAUUACUUUACCUGCUGAAAGAUUCAUCACAGUCAGAAAAGAUUCCUGUUUCUCACAUUGAUCUCUGCAUUCUGAUGUAAAGCAUUAGGGCCCCAACUCAUUCACUAAGGAAAUGUAAACAGAACAAGCAUCUACCAUAAGGAACAUCUCUCUUCCCCUAAUUCAGAACAGCAAAUGGAUAACAUUCAUGUCAGCAAAAUGAAUAAGUGGUCAUUCUUAUACUUCCGUUUUCUUUGACUUUGCUAUCUCUAUUAAUGGGUUAAGGUGCCUCCUUAGACAUUGACUUUCAAGGUUUUUUUCUGUGCACCUGAUAAAAAAUGAGCUUGCUGAGAAAAAUUCAGGCUGCAGGGAGGCCACCUUGUGAAGUCAGGCCAUCAGAAGGGCCCACAACCCUGCUUCAGCAGCAAAAUACAGACUGGAGCUCCCUGCAAAGGCACAGCCCAGUGGUGGGGACACUGCAGGGGCAGCUUUCUCCACUGUGUUUCGUUUCUCAGGGGUUCCCACACUGCCAUGGAGCUCCUCACUUUCCCAUCCUCAGCAGGCCCUGACAUUCUUAGUUCAGCGGCCUCCUGCAAAAGAGAUAAAUACAUCCUAUUUUCUCAGCCACUGGGAAAACUGUCUCACCAUACAUGGAGGAGAAAAUAGGAUCCUGAGGGGAACAAACCAAGCAAAUCUCCUUUCUUAUUCAAGUACAAUAAUUUCUACUCCCUUAUUCAAAUAAAGUAAUUUCUUUAGGGGAAACAAAAUUAAGCUAUCUGAAAUGGUGCACAUCUUCUGUCUUUGUAGACAAGAUUUCCAAAUUCUACACAGCAAAGGAGAUAAAUUGUACUUAUAAAGCUAUCAAUAUAAGAUGUUCCACUAAAUUCCACAUUCACAAAUGUUUUGGCUAUUCAAAAGUAAUUAGCAGUUUACUACAUAUGCAUGCAAAUGCUUAAAAAACUUCCAGACAUUCUCACUCCAGAUUAUUCAAUGUUAGCAGAAACUACACCUUUAAAUCCCACACAAACUCACUAGCUCUGAACACGAGGGUGCUUUAAUAUCUCUGGCUGCAGACUGGGAUGCAGUUCUCAGACAAGCUCACCACCCCAUCAAGAUCAGAUAGGGACUUUCAGCAGUCACUCAGCACCUCAAGCACUCCAGACAACAAGCUGGUGCCUGUUAAAGCAGGAUAUUGCUAUUGCAUAAAGGAAGAAUCCCUAUCCUAGAGGGAACAAAACAGGGAGAAAAAGGGGAAAAAAAAAACCAAACCAAAAAACAUAAGCAGAAAAAAACCCUAAGAAAGUAUUACCAUAUUCAUGUGAGUAAUUCCUCUGCUCCUCAUUGAAGUCAGUGGAAGCAGAUACAAUGCCCUGCUUGGAAAUCACCCCCUAAAGUCAGGUACCACUCAGGAGAGGGAUGGCAGGAGUCACUAAGAGCUGUCCGUGUACAGCAAAUGCUUCUGCCUUGCAAGAGCAGCCCAGCCCCAUGAGAACCCUCUGAUGGAUAUUGCCAUUUAGCAUCAUCAAAAAUUAAAAAUAUUGCAAAUCUCUAUACUUGAAAAAGCAAAUAAGGAUUGCUUUGAAAGAUAAUGCACCGCUCUGCCAGCUGCAUCUCGGAAUCUAUCAGAUCUAUUUUAUCAACAGUCCCUUUGAGUCACUUCAUAAAAUCAAAAUAUUUUCUUCAUAAACAAAUGCUGUAUGCUUUUGGGUUAGAUUUUCUCAGUCAUGUUUUUCCCUCCUCCAAACCCACAAAGCCAAGUUUUGUUCCCUAACAAAACUGUGUAUCCCCUGGAUGUGGCCAGGUUUGUCAGGUGCACGAGCUGUGCCAGGCUGCUCCACUGCUGCAGUCUGUGCCCAGAACACUGGGAGACAUGAGAGCUCCACUUAGACAAUUACUAUAAUUAGGGGACAGUACUGAAAGCCAAAUCCCUGCUGGUUGUAAGGCAAACCAUAUAUCACACACAGAGCAAGGUGUUUAAAAUUGCUGAGUGUGGAAAACGCUAGGAGCUGUGUACUUGCUGGUUAACCUUGCUGUUGUCAGCAAGAACAAAACAAAAAUAAUUAUUUCUGUUUGCACUGGCUAAUAAGAAGCCUCUUGUUUAACAGAUGGAAAACAAAACUGAUUACAUCCUAUGAGAGUACAGGUUGUAAGACAAGCAUGCUUAGCAGGGAUUCAAACUCUUAAAGGAUCAAGGAAUGGCCAUGGCCAAGUGCCCUUGCUUUUCACCAGCGGGAUCCCUGCACAUUAACUCAGAUUAGGUUUGGACUGAAAUGAAUUCAUUGCUUUUAUCCUUGUCCAACAGUGCAAAUAGCUCAGCGUGACUAUGGACCUCAACGCCCCCACAUAGCAGGCCAAGUAGAGCAUCUGUAACGUGUUCUACAUGGGAAAAUAUUUUGAUUUUCUGGAGUAAGAAACACCAUUGCACAAGUGAUGACUGAAGAAAACCAGAACUGAGGAGGAGUAAGCACCAAGUGCUGCUGUGAGCAUACCUCCAGGAAUGCCUGAUUUACAACUGCCACAGGGAAAAAAAUCAGAGUUCCCUUUGGAGCUGCAGGACCCAAAAGGCAGCUUCAGUGAAGACUUCAUCACAGCAGGCCAAAUUUGAAUAUUUUCCAGGGUCAGAGAUGGCAAAGUUUUCACUCUGUGAUACAGUUUUGAACAAUUAAAUCAAAUUCAGUCCAAAAAGUAGCAAACCCACAGGAUGCCCUGGCAAAUACACGAGUUGGCUGCAACCAAAGGAGAACUCAUCACUGCUUGCUAACUGUCAUACAUGCCUAGAUUAAACCUUCCCUGCACAUAUUUAUCAGGUUUAUGAUAUUUACAUGAGGAAAGGAACAAUCUAAAAAGUUAAGUUAAGAAUCAAACCCAUUACAAGAAUAAAAUUCCCAUAAAGACAAUGGAAGUCAGAUUCAAGGCUAAGAAAGUAAAAAGGUUGGAUUUAUCCUUAUGUAGCCACAUUUUUUCCCAAUAAAUCUGAACUCAUGUAACAUUU